UGCUGGAUUAGAGAGCCUGGUUCCAAGAGGGACUGCCUUCUACCAAGGAACAUGGCAAGAACUGAAAUUCCGUAGCCACUGAACAACAGCUGUCCAGCCCUGGUAACCCGCUUCUCCCUGCCACAUCCACUUCUGUGAAUAUAACUACUUUACAUACCUCAGCAGCAACAGAAAACUAGUAUGAAGACUUACAUGUUUUGGAG